rnacentral:rRNA from 1 species
AGCCACAGCCACACCACCCUGAAAGAAUUCCGCUUCAUUUGAUCUCAGAAGCUAAACAGGGCAGGGUCUCAUGACUCCUUCAAUGGGAACUGACGAAAAGACUGUGGGCA